GCAAGCUAUUACUAUGAACUGUUCACCUUUCCAUCAAAAGUUGCUAAGUCACAUUUUAUAACUUUGGAUCAAAAUAAUACCCAACAUUUGCCAACCCAUAGUGGCAUACCAAUCAAAGUGUACAUAUAUGGUCUAAACAUAUAAUUUAAUAAUUUACAUCGUUUUGUCUAUAUACAACAAAAGAGUACUCGACUUCCAACGGAGAGACUCGGAUGAAUGUACAGCUGCUGAAUGCCAAGACACCUACCAAGGGUCGAAUAUAUACGAAGACACCUCGACCUAGUUACCAGCUGUCUCGUGAUUUAAAAACAUGAAGUUGAAAACGGUGAGUAUAAACCCAGUAAGUGAA
rnacentral:lncRNA from 1 species